AAUAACAAUCUGUAAAUAGAGCAAGAUAUGAAAUUUGUCCUAGAGAACACAUUACUUCUGACUGAUCUGGUCUCAGGAGAUUUUGGCAGUACUAGCCAAAUGAUACUCUGCUGGCAUGUUUCCAACAGGAGAAUCCAAUGUUAGCUGGAAAGAAAAUCCUGGAAGCUCCUGGCUGGGCCCUGGUUGCACUUAAUUGCCCAGAUGUGCCUCACCUGCCCCUGCCCAGGGGCCAGGAGACCCAUGUAAGUGUGGGCAGGGCUCUUUGUCCUGUUUGCCUUGACCUGCCUGGUGGUUCAGUUAGCCCCACACUGUCAUGUGUCCUAGCAUAUAAGGUGGUGGAAAUAUGUUCACAGGAGUUGAAGGCCACUGUCAGAACUUCCAGCACCCAAGCUGGGCUUCAUGUUUGAUGAGUGGAAUGGGCCAACCGAUGGACUUAUAGGAGUAAAGUUUCAGGCAAGCAAAUUCUGUAAGAUGUAUCUACUCACUCCUGAGAGCAUGCCCUAUGCAAAGACACUGGACAGCUAAGCACAGAGAAAAAGCAGGACUGGUCCAGCGCAGUGCUUCCAGCAAAAACAAGAGCUGCUUCCUCUUCUCCAAGUUUCCUGACUGGUCAUGAAAUAAUGGUUCCUGGCAACGUGUCCCUGUACGUUUACCACUGUCUACUGGGUGUAAGUGAAGAGCCCAGCAAAGCUUGUUGCAUUUUUGAAGCUGUUCCAUACAAGGAAGGACAAGGUAAACAAGAAGUCUUCAUCUGGGAGAAAAGAUAACUGAACUAGUGAAGUCUGCAAAACAAGAAUAUUCUGGCUAUGGAAAUCUGGAUGACCUGUAUUUGGCAGUCUGUGCAACAUGGUUAAACAGCUGAUGCCCUCACUCAAGCUCCUCCAUAUCUGUUUGGAACUGUGGUGCUCGAGCAGAGAUGCUGCUGUCUAUAAUGGAAAUGGAAAGAUUGUCCUUCUCCCUGUAGCACACUUUAGUUUUGUGGAAAUACUGCAACCAGCUUCUGCCAUUGCUUAUGGUCUUUUCUUUCACAAACACUGUAGCAGAUUGCAGUGCUCUAUGAGGACAGAGAUAAUUGAUUUCCCAGGAAGGCAAUGAGGAUCAAGUAUUUCUUUAAGAGUUUGCAGGGAACAAAGCUUCUGACAUGGAAUUUAAGGGCUAUAUGAGAGUUGGAUGCAGAUGACCUUUCUCUGCGCUACUUAAGAACAGAGGAGUUAGUGUGAGAGCAUCCUUCAAGGAAGCAGAGGAUUGAAAUCUGUCAUCUGAAUUAGUCAGAAGAAUGUCCUUGGUCCUUGUCUCCAACAUCCCAGAUACCGCCCUAGGUGUUAUAUGUUAUUCUUUGUUGUUGUGGCUUUUGCACAAACACUGAAAUCUUCAUGGAGGAAGCAAAUGAGACAGUUGUGUGCUAGUGGAGACAUAGGAAAGUGGGAGAGUCCCUUGUUAAUACCUAGCUAAUAAUAAAGUGUAGGACUGCACUAGCAGAAGGUGGCUGAUACCUACUCUGGGAAUGAACAGUUAUUUCCUAAUAGGGCAUCACAUAAAUGUAGAAUAGAGAAGUGGUGAUGCUAGGACUUGAACUGCCGCCACCUUCACUGUGAGAACGAGACCGCUACAU